AUGGGUAAGAGGUUAGGGUUUCAGACUUGUAGUCCAAAGGAUGCCGGUUUGACUUCCGACCCAACAUGUUGGUGGGGGAAUGUAGUCAACCAGUGUUCUCCCCCAUCCUCCUCCAUGACUGAGGUACCCUGAUCAUGGUACCGUCCCGCCGCACUGCUCCCUAGGGGCGCCAUUCAGGGCUGCCCCCUUGCAGGGUUGAGGCAUAAUUGCAAUUUCGUUGUGUGCAGUGUUCACUUGUGUGCUGUGGAGUGCUGUGUCACAAUGACAAUGGGAGUUGGAGUUUCCCAGUUGGGCUUCAUAAUCUGCAUCUCAAUACUGGAUUUUCAUUGAAGAUUAUCAUUCAUCCAGGUCAUUUUAGUCGAAAGAUUAUAGUUGUAUGUCACUGAACUUCUUUUUGAAGUUUCAUUUGUCUUUUUUGUUUUGUUUUGUUUUGUUUUUUUACUUUAUUUAUGCCCCGGGGCACGAACGUGUGACCUCGUCAACUACAACGGUCCGGCAAUGGGAGACACAGUACGAUACCGCUGGACCAAGAGACCAGUCUCCCGGUCCAACGACAUCGACACUGUAUGAGGCUUUAGGAGGGAGGUUUACCAACGUUCCACGACAACUCUGCUGGUGGAAACCAAGGGCUAUGUGCAGUAUAACCUGUUUAGCAGCAUGCAGGUGGAGAACAUCAUCGAGCCGUAGUGCAGCAUUGUCGAUGUCUUCAGGUGGAGCAACAUGGAGAAGAUCCUGCAGAUGCCACCACAGUCCUCUGAAGCUGCACUGAAGAAGAUGCCCAUCCUGAGCUCAGAAGGAUUAAAAAAAACUGCCAUAAAAUGUAUCCAAUCAGCCAAUCAGUAGUCAAGACAGGUGAAUCAGCUCCUCAGUGAAUUUACCUUUGUUAGAAUGAAAACAUGGCAGAUUUGUGAUAUCCAUUU